UAAGAAGUCACGGAAGGACAAGAAAUUUGCAGGUUUUCCUUGCCAGGUUUGUGUCUUUGCCUAGGUGCUGCUCAGAGAGGGCUGACGGAUGGUGUGUGCCAGUGUGACGACACAGUCCCCAGGAAAGUUCCCUUUCCAGAACCAAAGAGAGCUGUAGCUAUGUGUGCCGUUACCUGUCUUCUGCAAGAGAUAAUGAACUUACUGGGCGUGUUUCAUGUCUUAUAAUUCACAAGUUCCCAGAAAGGUGAUUGCAAAUUCUUCCUGAAACAGGAGGUUCACAAAACCUUCUGUGCUUUGACAUGACUUAUGAGGUGGCAGAGCUGUGGAAAAACCUCACUGGAGGAUGUUUUGGAGCAGCCCUCUCCAGCUGAUCCUAGCUGUGGAGUGGUCCUGCAUUGCUGUCCUCUCCUUACAGCACAAGGGGAACCAGGCAGGGCUGGAGCAAGGACCAGCACUGUGAACUGAGCUGUGGGGCAGGGUUAAAGCUCCAGUUUCAUCUCAGACUCUUUGUCACUUCAGUUCUCCAACUGGAAAUAAGGAAUAAUGUGUUGCUAAAUGGAGUGCAAGUUGGAGAAAGAAGUCCAGGAGUGCUUGUGAAGCAGCCUGGUGCUGUGGCCGGGCUAGCCAAGUGCUCAGGGCCAUCGUGUGCCAGCGCACAGCUGGACAGCAGCAGGAGCCGGGAGCCAGCAGAGACCAUGGUGUUAUUAAAGCUGGGGUAUCAGUUCUGCAGCUCCCCAGCACUGCCAGCUUCGACAGAGGGCAGGAGGGAGCUCCCCUGAGGAGGAUCCCUAGUUCCUUUACGUUCUGUCUCGUACUGAGCGCUCUCUGGCACAUCAUUAACAGCCUUCCUUCACUACAGGAUCUUAGUGAUUAAAACCUCUUUAAUUACAUAAGGCCUCUUGAGAAAUAUUAUCUAAAAAAUUAGCAAAGAACAUCGGAAACUGAGUUACCUAGGCAGCUGAAAGGGUUUUUUUUAAAUCAAUCUAAAUAAGUAGUUAAGAGACCAGUUAAAAGUGGAAAUAACCUUUUGUCAAAUGUGAUAUUUUUAAGAUUUCAGAUUCCUGAUUAAUCAUCACUAAUUAAGAUAUUAAAAGAGCAAGAGCAUCUGGAUGCUUGUUUCUGUGCCUGAACUCUUCCAAAGAUGUGAUUGAUGUGUAUUUUUCCUGCACUGUUUUUAAUUUCUAUUUUAUUUCUCCAAUCUGACAGUCCACAAAUCUAAAAAAUUCUGGUCCUAGGAGUGGGAGAAAAUUGUGCACUAUUCUUUUUCACUUUUCAUCUUUUGUUGGAGUUUGGUUUUUCAGAACAUCUAAUUAAUUUCAGGUGUAGGUAGAACAUUGACAAGUGUAUGUGUUUGGGGUAUUUUGAAGGCCUUUAUUUUAAAGUGCCAUGUCCUUAUUCGUAGCCCUUCAUGCUAAGCCAGAUGGCAUUUAGAAAGGUUUCCAUCAUGCCUUUCUGGCCCAGUGGUAAACUUAGAGCAUCCCAAGGAACGAAAUAGUUAUGGAGCUGUAAAAGCGUAUGUAUCUUCUCUGAAAUAAGAGACCAACUACUUUCUGGAAAUAGAGACAAAGACAGUGACCAAAUCACUUGGCAGGUUUGCUAAGUCCAAAUCUGUAAUACUUUUCCUCAGUUAACAUUGUUAGACACGUUUUGACAUCUUGUUAUUAAUAUUAGUUGUCUGAAAAAAAGAGCUUAUGUUCCUGUACUUGAUGGACUGUCCAAGAAGGAGAAAAAGAUGCAGCAGACAAGUGGUUUGAAGGCACUUAAAGGUAUUUUUCAGAGCAGGCUCUUGUUUGUGUGAUGUGAAUGUAGACAUAGGAAAAGUGUGUGCAAACAGCGUCCUGCCAGUAGGCUGUGAUGAAGAUGUUAAAACAAAAUGGGAAUUUGACAGGGCACAACUGCUGGCUGCUGGAGUUAGAACCAAAGUUGGGAGGAAGCCAUUGAGGGCUGAGGAUUAACCCAGCUGCAGUGCAGCACACGGAGCACAGUGCCCUGUGUCCAUUCUGUCACUGGCUCGGAUGGUGUCACUGCAGAGAGGCUUUCCUCUUCUCCCUGGAUGUGUGUUGUGAAGAGCCUGCUGAAAAUCAGUAGAUGUGUGGAACAAGUGGGAUCCUGCAGUGAAGGAUCUGAGCCCUGGCAGUGCCAGCUUUGCCCAGAGAGGAGGGACUGCCACCCUGCAGUUCCCCACAGCAAGUUUCUGUCACUUGUGCCAACUUGUUCACUGCUAAUGAGCACAUCUGGGAGCAGAACAAAGGUUUCCAAACACUGAUGUGAAGGAAAUUGGUUUGAUAGACAAACACUUGCAACAAAUAGUUUAUAUUUUUUUUCCCUAGAAUUUGCUCUUUUUCUGCUUUGUAUUUUAGUUCCUCCCAAGAAGUAUUACCUACAGUACAAAAUGGUUACUAGUCUUUUUUUUAUGCUUCAUCUUCUCAGCUAUUUUUUCCUCAUACUUUUAGAUGGAGAGAGACUGCAAUUUAUACUAUGGGAUUUGCUUCUCCUUGUUUUAUUUUUACUUCAUUUUUUAGGGGCCUUACCCAUUCAUAUGUGUGCAGUAAAACUUUAUUUCUUUCCAAAGAACAAGUCCCCAUAUUAUAAGCAGUAAGAGUUUGUACUUGCUUAGCCACUUUAAUAUUAAACUUUGCAGUACUUUAUAGGUCCCAGUUAAUUAAGUUCUGUAGAAGUGCUGUUACAGCAUAGGCAGGGACAGGUGAAUUGAUAAACAGAGUGGAAGCAUGGUUUCCCUAAAUUCAUAAUGGGAUGAAGUCAGCCUUGUGAAGGUUUUUUUAGCCUCUUUAUAGAGGUUUAUGCAAUUUAAAAUUCUCCUGCUCAGUGUUCCAUUUUUCUAGCACGUACAAGAGAGGAUUGCAGUGCACAUCAUAGAGGUGAUCAUUGCAUUUGUGAGACUCAGUUAUAACCACAUUUCCUUUACCUCUUCUUGAUUGGUCCCUUUGACUUGCUAAGUUUAGCUUCGUGUUUCUUCUGUGCUUCAGUACUAUAAAUAUCCCUACUGCUAAAUUGCUCUAUUUUCUAAAAUCACAUCUAGAUAGAUCCUUUCUCUUGGCACUAUCAACAUUCUCUGCAUCCGGCGUCCUCCUGGCCGAGUUUCUGAACUCUACCUGCUUACAAGGAAUUACUGAAGCUGCAGCUCGUGGUGAAUUGUCUGUUCAUGGUGCAAGGAAGUCACACCUAACUGUGUACAGUUAUAGAGAGACACAUGCAUACAUUUACACAUAUUAAGUACAAAGAUGUAAAACAUAAUAUCUGCAGAAUUCUGAAUCCUUAGAAUAAUUCAUAGUUUCGCUACAUUCCUCAGUAUUAUUAAUUCAGCUGCAGGGAGAUAGGAUGGUGGUAAAGUUAGAUUUUCUUCUUCAGAAUUCUUCUUUAACAUAUUAUUUUUACAUGAUAUAUGAGUAAUGUGAAAAGCCCAUCAGGACUCAUCAGAAAAGUGCCAAACCCCGACUUCCCUUCUGUUUUAUUCAAUAGAACUCUAGCUUUAGAACUAAUGAGUAUGAUCUUGCCCUGGUAAUAAAAUGUAAAACCACCACAAAUGCUGUUUGGAGGUGUGUUUGAGAUACUAUGUCGUUUUCACUGAAAAUUAAAAGGAACAAAAGCAUAUAAAUGUUUUAGGUCUGUGAAUUAAGGUCAAUUUGUGCUUUGCAUUAAAUAUAUAUAUCAAUAUUUUCUAAGAUGUCAGAAGAGGAAGGGUCACGUUCACUGCGAGACCAAAUGAAGCACAAUUACCAUCUCCAUUCUCAUUGCAAGGUUUAUAAUUCAUGCUUUAUUUAAAUUCCAGUUUGCUUAAAAAUAAAACUGUAAGAUCUUUGAUGUUAUUCCUUAGAAAAACUGCCUUCCUGAUGUCUCCAUUAGACAUCACGUGAACUUUUUAAAUCUCCAGAUUGAGAAUACAUUUGAAGAUAAAUUUUGACAGCCAUCAGCAUUUGCAUUAGGACAAGAACAUACCCUGGAAUUUUCAAGAUAAUUCAAUUUUAGAUUCAAUUUGUGCUUCAGAAACUAGCAUUUAUCAGUUCUACCAAAUUAAAAUUCAGGUCUGAAAAUAAAAUGAAGCCAGAAAGCAAAAACGAUUUGCUGCAAUUUGUGAAUCAGGUUCACCUCCCAUUUACCCUGAACUUUGAGAUUUAUUUAUUCCAAAUAAGUCUUUCACUGUUUAAAAAUCUCAGAUGGAGAGGUAGUUUUCAAAUUUGCUUUCUGACAGGCGUACGGACGUGUAAGUCAUUCCCUUCUCUGUUCUAGUCCCUACAAAGCACUUCCUUCACUGGCCUUGUUGGUUCUGGGAAAACUGAAUGGGAUGAGCAGAGUUUGGCUGUGUUACACGUUUUACUUUUAUUUUCAAAUGCCAGUCAAGUUUUCUGAAUCCAUGUCCUGCUGAAAGAAAUAAUAUUCCUGAAGCUAAAAGAUGAGGAGAAAAAUUAAAAUAUCUGGGCAGCAGAUUUACCUACUCGUGAAAGUCUUGGCAAAUACACAAUAAAAGUUUGUUUACAUGGUAAUUAAAACAUAACAUAGUCUUAAACAACAAUGAAAUAAUUGGCCUUUUGUUUAAAAAUUUGUAUCAGCUUUGUUUGGAUCUGUAAAUAAAGCCUUGGUGCAGUGGAACUGG